rnacentral:rRNA from 1 species
GACGAACGCUGGCGGCGCGCCUAACACAUGCAAGUCGAACGAGCGAGAGAGAGCUUGCUUUCUCGAGCGAGUGGCGAACGGGUGAGUAACGCGUGAGGAACCUGCCUCAAAGAGGGGGACAACAGUUGGAAACGACUGCUAAUACCGCAUAAGCCCACGACCCGGCAUCGGGUAGAGGGAAAAGGAGCAAUCCGCUUUGAGAUGGCCUUGCGUCCGAUUAGCUAGUUGGUGAGGUAAUGGCCCACCAAGGCGACGAUCGGUAGCCGGACUGAGAGGUUGAACGGCCACAUUGGGACUGAGACACGGCCCAGACUCCUACGGGAGGCAGCAGUGGGGAAUAUUGCACAAUGGGGGAAACCCUGAUGCAGCGACGCCGCGUGGAGGAAGAAGGUCUUCGGAUUGUAAACUCCUGUUGUUGAGGAAGAUAAUGACGGUACUCAACAAGGAAGUGACGGCUAACUACGUGCCAGCAGCCGCGGUAAUACGUAGGUGGCAAGCGUUAUCCGGAAUUACUGGGUGUAAAGGGAGCGCAGGCGGGAUAGCAAGUCAGCUGUGAAAACUAUGGGCUCAACCCAUAAACUGCAGUUGAAACUGUUAUUCUUGAGUGGAGUAGAGGCAAGCGGAAUUCCGAGUGUAGCGGUGAAAUGCGUAGAUAUUCGGAGGAACACCAGUGGCGAAGGCGGCUUGCUGGGCUCUAACUGACGCUGAGGCUCGAAAGUGUGGGGAGCAAACAGGAUUAGAUACCCUGGUAGUCCACACUGUAAAC